CUGUAUGGACCACACAUGGUUGAGGGUCGUU
rnacentral:rRNA from 1 species